rnacentral:lncRNA from 1 species
AAUAAAGUUAUUUUAUUUGAGCUUGAGAAUGAAAUGUAGCAUAAGUUUUGCCAAGGAUUUCGUCGCUUUACAAUGGCUAUUGAAACUGCUAUUUAUAGCUAUACCUAGGGAAACAAGAUCUUAGGAUCAAGCCCCUCUUAAAUGACAAUAAAUGGGUCAAUGGGCCAUUGAUGAAUAUGUAACGGCAGACUAUGAAUGCAAAUAUUCUUUGCAAUGACUUCCCAUUUAAUGCUAGGGAAUAUUCUUCAUUGAUUGCCAUCUGGUGACAAACAUUCGAUCCACUCCCGUUGAUUGUGCUUCCUUCGGAGUCUAUCUGAUGCCAAUUACAGCUGUUGUUCCCGGUACUGGCUAUUACUCGAUUUAUCUUCUGCCUGUCUUCGGUUCCACGCGUCACGCUACCAUUCGAUCAUUUAAUAUAAACCAACUUUAUCCUAUACAAAAAAUACUUUUAAAAAAAUACUUUUGGGGAGAAACUACUUUUUCUACUUUUCAAAAAUUACUUCUACUUCUACUUAAAAGUAUUUUUGUUCCGUCUGAAAGCGUGGUCAAAUAUCUUAACUGUGAAAAGAAAUACUUUGGUAACAAAAAGAACACUUUUGGCCAAAAAAAGCACCACCAAACAAGCUAUAAAUGGUUAAAAUUUACCUACACCGGCUGCUUACACUCAAUUUAGUUAAAUUAACCACACAAGACAUACUAAGGUCUAGAGGCAUAAUUUAAUAAAGUAAGAACCAAAAAUUAAAAAAAAGAAGGGAAGUCAGUAGCGUAACAAUUACAAUAGUUAGGGCUGCCGUCACCGUCCAUUCUUCUAGCGUUUUGGUAUGUUCUAAAGCUAUGGAUCAUUCUUUCUUCUGUUUUUUAUUUCUUGAUUGCAACUCCAAACCUACAACUUGGUUGGAAUUUUUCGUGUUGAAUGAUUUGACACUAGUAUUUUGAAACAUUUGGAAAGAUAAGCUUAUCUUUUGAAUUUUGAUGGUAGAACGUAACUUACACAUUCAAGAAAAUCCUUGAUUGCUUUUGUAGGCUAAUAAAACUUUUGUAGGAAACUCUUGAAUGCUUUGUUGGCUAAAAUGGCCAAUUACAUAAUCAAAGUUGCGCUCUAGACUUCCUUAUAUUGCUUGUCGAGUUUGUGAAUGAAGAUGUAUUUUAAGCUUUUUGCCAGAAAAAUUCCUCGAUUUGAAUGAUUUCAUCCUUCUAACUACUAGUUGCACACAUCCUCAUCUUACGAAAAUCAAACAUUGUUAUAUUCAUAUAUAUGAUGUAUGAGGAAAGAAAUAAAUAGAAGAUUCGAUAUUCUAACAUAUUUCUGAAGUAGAAGGAAGGUGUAAUAGCAAGAUUACCCUGCAUUUGAGAUGGAAUUGACAUGAUUUGUGUUUGCAAGAAGAUGAUUUUCUGUUGCCUCUCUACAGUUGAGGUGUUGUUGCAACAACAAUGCUGCUUUCUAAGGCAUUGUCAUAUGAUAAUAGAUCCCACAAUUUUUGAUAUUCUUAUCAUGAGCUUCUUUCACCAUGCGAGGACUUCUUUUAUCUGUCAAAAAUCCAUCUAUAUGAGUAUUCAUUUUUGGCAAGUGUCAAUAGUAUGGUCGUACUAAAAAGCUGCGACAUUAUGAUUAUUCUUUUUCGUCAAGCAUUAAGGAACAUUCACAACACCACAAAAUAUAGCUGGCGUAAUCAAUUUCUCAUAUUAUUGAUUGUAAAACGAAAAAAUAGAUAGCACCUAAAUAGAUAAAUAGCAAACAAUGAUAAAGAAUGUACUUUUAACACUUAAUUUAUAGGGAAGUUACUUCAACCAUAGAUGGAAAACAAGAAGAUGCAAUUGAUAAAUAGUCUAAAUUAUUCUCGGCCUUCAUCCCCAAUUAUUCAUGAUCUUUUGUUCCAUAAGCAUACCCAUUUAAAAUAUAUAUAUUCAGCAAAAACAUUCACUUGUUAAAUUGAAAGGGUGUAAAUUUUACAUGCCGCAAACAUUCACUUGUUAACAUGGUCUUUUAAGAUUUGCUCCUUUUUUUUUAUUUAGGUUUCGUUAGUUUAUCGUAAUUUUUUUUUCUUUUUACUAAAUCCUUUUUUAUUAAAUAAAAUGAGGGUAAUAUAAGCAAAAAAGGCAUAGAUGCUAAAGAUUUCUUCCGAAAGAGUUACUGGCCCACCACUGUUAAUUAAAUAACUGGGCACUUGUUAGCAUCAUUUACAGAAGCAGUGGGCAAUUUUUCUGUGUGGUCAUUGUGUCGAACACAUCAUGGGCGCCAAAAUAAGCAUAUCAUGUUCGUUUCCCCCCAGAAUUAAGUAAUUAGGACAGAUGAAAUGAAAAUGCAUAUGAGGAAAGUAUAGAAAGAUUAAAUAAAGAGGCUAAAUAGUGUAUUUCUUCCCUCAUUUUGCCUUUGCUCUGAGUCUUAAUGUUCAUUCAAAGAAUAGAGAGAUUAGCAGAGAAAAGAGUAAACCAAUAAGUUCAACAACGGUGAAGCAACACAAUAAAAAUAAAAAGUUAACAAUAUCAGAUUUGAAGAAGAAAUUUUGGAUCAGAAGUUUCAAGAGAAAUGCACCUUUUAGUUUUCGAUCGAAGAGUUUUUUUUUUUUGGUAAAAAGAAGAAAGUUACCAACUUCAGUGUAUGAAAUGAAUCUCAAAUUCAGAUUACCGGUGCUGCAAUUUUGAUAGUAUCAUAAAUGGAUUUUCGACAGUUGGAUCAACUCUUGAUGAAUUAUAA